GCCGUUUGGCUGACCAUCGCCUCUAGUUUCUUUUUGAAUAAUAAAGUGAAACAUGAACCUUGUGUCCAUCAUUGUUGGCACUAAUUGUUGGCUGAUUCAGCAUGUUGAAGUGAAUCAGAGUUAGUCAGUGAGACAGAGCUGUGUGACCGGGUGUUCAGUAGUGAAUCAGUAGUUUAGUGUGAUUUUCUCCUUGUUCGUUUCCACUUCUUUUAUAGUCAAGAUUAUUAUUAUUAUUAUUAUUAUUAUGAACUACUGACUAGUUAUUUCCUCUCAUGAUGGUAUAGAAUGUACUGUAUGUACAUGUUGGCCAUCAGCUGGAGUGACAGUGCAACUUAUAAGAAGAGGUGAAGCCUUUGACAGUACUAGUUUUUUUACUUGGAGUAUCAGGCCACCAUAGUUUCCACGUCUGCAUAGUUCUGCAUGACCGCAUGAGUCUGUGUGAUGUAAAUUUCAUCCCCAUUUUAACCGCAUGGACUGUCCGCACUACAAGCGUGCCGACUGUGCAUGUGCUAGAAAAGCAAACUGGGGGCUUGUUUUGUGUAUUGUAUUUACUAUAUUCCCAUUUCUUGGUCCCCUUCUUAUUAAGCGGUCGCACACACAAUUUUCUUCUUUUCCAUUUUUCUUGUUGUUCUGUCAAAUACAACAAACAGAAACUUUUCCUCUUGCUGUCAUGAGGUCGCCGCCCUGUUUUCUAGUGCACAUGUGUGGAACACAACUCUGACUAUAGUUUGUGUAAGAGCUCGUGCAAGUCCACGUACACAGAUGAACCAAGGCAAACAUGAAUGGCCUUAAUGGACUGACGUGAGAGCGAGAAAAGCAGACACAUCUGAUAGUGGUGUACUCUGAUUUAAAUCUUAGAAACUGCACCGCUCUAUAAGAUUUGUGCUUAAGACAAAGAGAGGCAGAUUACUACGCUGCUGUAAAGGAAUGUUUUGGGAUUUUUGGAUGAUCUGUGGCCUGCAGGGUUUUCAUUGGAAGCCUGCUGAUCUAAGAGCCUGGUGGGCAGAGUUUCAGAGAUUCAGCUCACCUGGACUGACGGGCUUCUAUACAAGCUGGUGGCUUGUGCUGGCUUCCACUCUGUUUGGUUUUGUUGUAUCUUAAAGACAGUUCCACCAGUACCAAGGUUGCAGACAUCUGAGGCUGGACAAGAUGGUCAAACUUGCGGUACAUGUGGUCUUUUUGUGCCAGAUUGGUGGGAGGUGUACUUCAUUCAUGAUCGUGGUGGACCCUUGGUCUCUCCCUGCAGGAGUCUGGUGUGCUGAGUUGGGUCAUCAGGGAAAUUCAGCUCACCUGGACUGACGGGCUUCUAUAGAAGCAGGUGACAGUCAGUCACUUGCCCUCUCUCCUCUGACUUCCACCCUGUUUGGUUUUGUUGUAGUUAGUUUAAUUUAUCUUAGUUAUGUGCAAUAAAUCUAUUUUUAGUUACAA